UAGGGAAUCUUCCACAAUGGGCGAAAGCCUGAUGGAGCAACGCCGCGUGUGUGAUGAAGGGUUUCGGCUCGUAAAACACUGUUGUAAGAGAAGAAUGACAUUGAGAGUAACUGUUCAAUGUGUGACGGUAUCUUACCAGAAAGGAACGGCUAAAUACGUGCCAGCAG
rnacentral:rRNA from 1 species